rnacentral:lncRNA from 1 species
GGAGCCCGGGCGCACGGGCCAGGCCGCGGGCUGUCCCAGGGAGCCCCGAGGGCGCGGUGCGCGGGCGCAGGUCGGGCGCAGGCGGGGUGACCCGGGGAAGGGGCGCGCACAGAGACAGAGGGAGCCAGCCGGGCCCCACGGUGUCCUCGGACGCCUCCGAAAUCUCCCUGCGUGUUUGUUUCUUCGGAGCUUCACCGGAGCCUGACUCUGGAACCGGCCUGUCUGCCUGCUGCAGUCUGGAAACGUUGUGUUCUGUUAGUCUUGGAGGCCAAGGCUGAGUGGGUUUAUCUCUGUGCCCCUCCAGUGACUUCAAAGAAUGCCAAAAGUCUCUCGAGUGUGCCUGUGUGCACACACAGACACACACAAAUAUGCAUUCUUAGAAACCAGAUAUACAAAGACAAGAUCUCUGCUUUCAAGAAGCUCUCAAUCUGAUUGAGGAGAGAAACAGGUAGCAAAUAAUGGCAGCAGAGCAUGGUCAUUCAACAUUUAUUCAACCAAAAAUACUAAGUCAGCUCUAUACAAACUAAUGGAAGGAUACAGCUAUGCAAAUAUAGAACACUAAAGUGUUACAUGACAGAUGUAUGAGGUAGGUAUUAUUUUCA